UAAUUUGAGAGUUUGAUCCUAGCUCAGGAUGAACGCUGGCGGCGUGGAUAAGGCAUGCAAGUCACGGGGGCCGCAAGGCAACCGGCGAACGAGUCAGUAACACCUUGGUACAUACCUCGAAGUAGGGCAUAGCCCGCCGAAAGGCGGGGUAAUUCGCUAUAAUCCCGCAAGGGGAAAGCAUCCGCCAACCGGCGGAAUGCGCUUUGAGAUUGGCCUAGGUCCGAUCAGCUUGUUGGUGAGGUAAUGGCUCACCAAGGCUAUGACCGGUAGGGGGGCUGAGAGGCUGAUCCCCGACGACGAGACUGAGACACGGCUCGUACACCUACGGGUGGCAGCAGUCGAGAAUAUUCCACAAUGGGCGAAAGCCUGAUGGAGCGACGCCGCGUGGAGGAUGAAGGCCUUCGGGUUGUAAACUCCUUUUCUAUGGGAAGAACAUUUAUGUGACGGUACCAUAGGAAUAAGAGGUUGCUAACUCUGUGCCAGCAGCAGCGGUAAUACAGAGACCUCAAGCGUUAUCCGGAUUUAUUGGGCGUAAAGGGCUCGUAGGAGGGUUUGCGCGUCCCAUGUUAAAUCUCACCGCUCAACGGUGAGCAAGCAUGGGAUACGGCAUACCUGGAGGAUGUCAGAGGCAAGCGGAACGCACGGUGUAGGGGUGAAAUCCGUUGAUAUCGUGCGGAACACCAGAGGCGAAGGCGGCUUGCUGGGGCAUUCCUGACUCUGAGGAGCGAAAGCGUGGGGAGCAAAAAGGAUUAGAUACCCUUGUAGUCCACGCCCUAAACGAUGUCUACUAGUUAUUGGGAGUAUCGACCCUCUCAGUGACGAAGCUAACGCGUUAAGUAGACCGCCUGGGAAGUACGGUCGCAAGACUAAAACUCAAAGGAAUAGACGGGGACUCGCACAAGCGGUGGAGCAUGUGGUUUAAUUCGAUGGUAAACGAAGCACCUCACCAGGGCUAGAAACCUAGUCGACGAUAUGCCGAAAGGCGUAUCUUCUCGGUUUUCAAUCGGGACGGCUGGGCAGGUGCUGCACGGUUGUCGUCAGCUCGUGGCUUGAGUUGUUCCCUUAAGUGGGUUAACGAGCGCAACCUCUAUCCUGUGUUACACGUAGUCACAGGAGACUGCCCCCGCCCCUGCGCGGAAGCGCAGGACAUUUCGAAAUUUCGAUAUAUCGAUAUGUCCUGUUCGCUUGCGAACAGAGGCGGGGGAGGAAGGUGGAGACGACGUCAAAUCAGCGUGGCCCUUGAUGUCCUGGGCGACACACAUGCUACAAUGGCUUAUACAAUGGGCAGCCAAGCCGAGAGGCGGAGCCAAUCCCAUCAAAAAAAGCCUCAGUUCGGAUUGAAGUCUGCAACUCGACUUCAUGAAGUUGGAAUCGCUAGUAAUCGCGGAUCAGCAGGCCGCGGUGAAUACGUUAUCGAGUCUUGUACUCACCGCCCGUCAUACCAAGGGAGCCGGUAAUAGGUGAAGCCUCUUUUUGGGGGUCAGCCUAGGAUCGGUGACACGGGUAAAGUCGUAACAAGGCACGUGUAGCGGAAGCUGUGCGUGAAACAAUUACUAA
rfam:Candidatus Wolfebacteria bacterium RIFCSPLOWO2_01_FTLL_47_17b rifcsplowo2_01_scaffold_616, whole genome shotgun sequence.